rnacentral:rRNA from 1 species
CCUACGGGGGGCAGCAGUGAGGAAUAUUGGUCAAUGGGCGCUAGCCUGAACCAGCCAAGUAGCGUGAAGGAUGACUGCCCUAUGGGUUGUAAACUUCUUUUAUAUGGGAAUAAAGUGCAGUAUGUAUACUGCUUUGCAUGUACCUUAUGAAUAAGGAUCGGAUAACUCCGUGCCAGCAGCCGCGGUAAUACGGAGGAUCCGAGCGUUAUCCGGAUUUAUUGGGUUUAAAGGGAGCGUAGGCGGGUGGUUAAGUCAGUUGUGAAAGUUUGCGGCUCAACCGUAAAAUUGCAGUUGAUACUGGCAUCCUUGAGUACAGUAGAGGGAGGCGGAAUUCGAGGUGUAGCGGUGAAAUGCGUAGAGAUCACGAAGAACUCCGAUUGCGAAGGCAGCCUGCUGGACUGUAACUGACGCUGAUGCUCGAAAGUGUGGGUAGCAAACAGGAUUAGAUACCCUAGUAGUC